CCCUUAGAUGUCCUGGGCCGCACGCGCGCUACACUGACGGAGCCAGCGAGCUUACCCCUUUGCCGAAAGGCAUGGGAAAUCUUUUGAAUCUCCGUCGUGCUGGGGAUAGAUCAUUGCAAUUAUUGAUCUUGAACGAGGAAUUCCUAGUAAGCGCAAGUCAUCAACUUGCGUUGAUUACGUCCCUGCCCUUUGUACACACCGCCCGUCGCUCCUACCGAUUGAAUGAUCCGAUGAAUACCAUGGAUUGAGAGUACGAAUAGGUUCGCUUAUUUCUGCUGCUCGAGAAGUGGAGUAAAUCUUAUCAUUUAGAGGAAGGAGAAGUCGUAACA
rnacentral:rRNA from 1 species